GGGUUGUGAGGUUAAGCGACUAAGCGUACACGGUGGAUGCCCUGGCAGUCAGAGGCGAUGAAGGACGUGCUAAUCUGCGAUAAGCGUCGGUAAGGUGAUAUGAACCGUUAUAACCGGCGAUUUCCGAAUGGGGAAACCCAGUGUGUUUCGACACACUAUCAUUAACUGAAUCCAUAGGUUAAUGAGGCGAACCGGGGGAACUGAAACAUCUAAGUACCCCGAGGAAAAGAAAUCAACCGAGAUUCCCCCAGUAGCGGCGAGCGAACGGGGAGCAGCCCAGAGCCUGAAUCAGUGUGUGUGUUAGUGGAAGCGUCUGGAAAGGCGCGCGAUACAGGGUGACAGCCCCGUACACAAAAAUGCACAUGCUGUGAGCUCGAUGAGUAGGGCGGGACACGUGGUAUCCUGUCUGAAUAUGGGGGGACCAUCCUCCAAGGCUAAAUACUCCUGACUGACCGAUAGUGAACCAGUACCGUGAGGGAAAGGCGAAAAGAACCCCGGCGAGGGGAGUGAAAAAGAACCUGAAACCGUGUACGUACAAGCAGUGGGAGCACGCUUAGGCGUGUGACUGCGUACCUUUUGUAUAAUGGGUCAGCGACUUAUAUUCUGUAGCAAGGUUAACCGAAUAGGGGAGCCGAAGGGAAACCGAGUCUUAACUGGGCGUUAAGUUGCAGGGUAUAGACCCGAAACCCGGUGAUCUAGCCAUGGGCAGGUUGAAGGUUGGGUAACACUAACUGGAGGACCGAACCGACUAAUGUUGAAAAAUUAGCGGAUGACUUGUGGCUGGGGGUGAAAGGCCAAUCAAACCGGGAGAUAGCUGGUUCUCCCCGAAAGCUAUUUAGGUAGCGCCUCGUGAAUUCAUCUCCGGGGGUAGAGCACUGUUUCGGCAAGGGGGUCAUCCCGAC
rnacentral:rRNA from 1 species